rnacentral:rRNA from 1 species
GAAUUCACUAGUGAUUUCUGGUUGAUCCUGCCAGACCCGACUGCUAUCAGAGUGGGACUAAGCCAUGCGAGUCAACGUAGUAAUACGUGGCAUACGGCUCAGUAACACGUAGUCAACAUGCCCAGGGGACGUGGAUAACCUCGGGAAACUGAGGAUAAACCGCGAUAGGCCAUAAUUCCUGGAAUGGUUUAUGACUGAAUCCUACAUGGCCCCUGGAUUGGACUGCGGCCGAUCAGGCUGUUGGUGAGGUAAUGGCCCACCAAACCUGUAACCGGUACGGGCUCUGAGAGGAGAAGCCCGGAGAUGGGCACUGAGACAAGGGCCCAGGCCCUAUGGGGCGCAGCAGGCGCGAAACCUCUGCAAUAGGCGAAAGCCUGACAGGGUUACUCUGAGUGGUUCCCGCUAAGGGGAUCUUUUGGCACCUCUAAAAAUGGUGCAGAAUAAGGGGUGGGCAAGCCUGGUGUCAGCCGCCGCGGUAAUACCAGCACCCCGAGUGGUCGGGACGAUUAUUGGGCCUAAAGCAUCCGUAGCCGGUCAUGCAAGUCUUCCGUUAAAUCCACCCGCUCAACGGUUGGGCUGCGGAGGAUACUACGUGGCUAGGAGGCGGGAGAGGCAAGCGGUACUCAGUGGGUAGGGGUAAAAUCCUUUGAUCCAUUGAAGACCACCAGUGGCGAAGGCGGCUUGCCAGAACGCGCUCGACGGUGAGGGAUGAAAGCUGGGGGAGCAAACCGGAUUAGAUACCCGGGUAGUCCCAGCUGUAAACGAUGCAGACUCGGUGAUGGGAUGGCCUCGAGCUAUCCCAGUGCCGCAGGGAAGCCGUUAAGUCUGCCGCCUGGGGAGUACGGUCGCAAGACUGAAACUUAAAGGAAUUGGCGGGGGAGCACCACAAGGGGUGAAGCCUGCGGUUCAAUUGGACUCAACGCCGGGAAUCGAAUUCCCGCGGCC